rnacentral:rRNA from 1 species
AAUCUGGGACAAUGUUCGAAAGCCUGAUCCAGCCAUGCCGCGUGUGUGAAGAAGGUCUUCUGAUUGUAAAGCACUUUAAGGUGGGAGGUAGGGUUGUAGAUUAAUACUCUGCAAUUUUGACGUUACCGACUGAAUAUGCACCCGCUCACUCAGUGCUAGACUCCGCGGUAAUACGAAUGGUGCAAGGGUUAAUCGGAAUUACUGGGCGUAAAGCGCGCGUAGGUGGUUCGUUAAGUUGGAUGUGAAAGCCCCGGGCUCAACCUGGGAACUGCAUCCAAAACUGGCGAGAUAGAGUACGGUAGAGGGUGGUGGAAUUUCCUGUGUAGCGGUGAAAUGCGUAGAUAUAGGAAGGAACACCAGUGGCGAAGGCGACCACCUGGACUGAUACUGACACUGAGGUGCGAAAGCGUGGGGAGCAAACAGG